rnacentral:rRNA from 1 species
UUACGGGAGGCAGCAAUUAGGAAUCUUGCGCAAUGGGGGAAACCCUGACGCAGCGACGCCGCGUGAAGGAUGACGGCCUUCGGGUUGUAAACUUCUUUUAAGUGGGACGAAUAAAGUGACGGUACCACUUGAAUAAGCCCCGGCUAACUACGUGCCAGCAGCCGCGGUAAUACGUAGGGGGCGAGCGUUGUCCGAAUUUACUGGGCGUAAAGCGCGCGUAGGCGGACUUUUAAGUGGAGGGUGAAAUCUUGGGGCUCAACCCCAAAACUGCCUUCCAAACUGGAAGACUUGAGGCUUGGAGAGGGAAGUGGAAUUCCUGGUGUAGCGGUGAAAUGCGUAGAUAUCAGGAGGAACACCCGUGGCGAAGGCGGCUUCCUGGCCAUGUCCUGACGCUGAGGUGCGAAAGCCAGGGGAGCGAACGGGAUUAGAUACCCCCGUAU